rnacentral:rRNA from 1 species
GAUGAACGCUGGCGGUAUGCUUAACACAUGCAAGUCGAACGGACUCUUCGGAGUUAGUGGCGGACGGGUGAGUAACGCGUGAGAAUCUGGCUUUGGGUUCGGGACAACCACUGGAAACGGUGGCUAAUACCAGAUGUGCCGUGAUGUAAAAGAGAAAUUCCCUGAAGAUGAGCUCGCGUCUGAUUAGCUAGUUGGUGAGGUAAAGGCCCAACAAGGCAGCGAGAAGUAGCAGGUCUGAGAGGAUGACCAGCCACACUGGGAAUGAGACACGGCCCAGACGAAUACGCGGGGAAGCAGGGGGGAAUGGUGCGCAAAGGGCGAAUGCGUGACGGAGCACUACCGCGCGAGGGAAGAAGGCUCUUGGGUUGUAAACCUCUUUUCUUAGGGAAGAACAAAAUGACGGUACCUAAGGAAUCAGCAUCGGCUAACUACGUG